UACAGAGGGGGCAAGCGUUGUUCGGAAUUACUGGGCGUAAAGGGCGCGUAGGCGGCCUUCUAAGUCGAACGUGAAAUCCCCGGGCUCAACCCGGGAACUGCGUCCGAUACUGGAAGGCUUGAAUCCGGGAGAGGGAUGCGGAAUUCCAGGUGUAGCGGUGAAAUGCGUAGAUAUCUGGAGGAACACCGGUGGCGAAGGCGGCAUCCUGGACCGGCGUUGACGCUGAGGCGCGAAAGCCAGGGGAGCAAACGGG
rnacentral:rRNA from 1 species